rnacentral:rRNA from 1 species
AUGGGAGGAGACAAGGCAAGGGAAGUUGAUGCAGUAGAGGGGAAGCUCAGGAAUCUGAAGCUUUCGGAGGCGGAAAAGAAAGAAUAUACUGAAGAAGAAGUGAAAGCUGCCUUGAAUAAUAUUGAUGAUCUAAAGGUUGCCGGACCUGAUGGCAUGCCUGCAAUCUUUUUUAAGAGAUUCUGGAGCACUGUAGGAGAGCAAGUAACCAAGGAGGUGCUCAAGGUGUUGAGAGGUGGUGAGAUGCCUGAAGAGUGGAACAACACCAUGAUAGUUCUGAUUCCAAAAACAACUAGACCAGAGAGAUUGAAGGAUUUGCGACCCAUCAGCCUCUGCAAUGUGGUCUACAAACUAAUAUCAAAGAGGAAGAGGGGUGGAAGAGUAAGUUAUGCUGCUAUCAAACUUGACAUGAGCAAGGCUUAUGAUCGAGUUGAAUGGAAGUUCUUGCAAGGAAUCAUGUUGAAACUCGGUUUCAAUAGAAGUUGGGUGCAGCUCGUGAUGAAUUGUGUGACAACGGUGAAAUACCACAUCAAAGUUAAUGGGGACGUCACAGAGAUAAUUAUUCCUGAGAGGGGGCUUCGUCAAGAUGAUUCACUUCUUCUCCUAGAAGUAAAUGCCGACAGCAGUCGCGAGCUUAAUCAAAUUCUGAACUCCUAUGAAGCUUGCUCGGGCCAGGCUAUAAAUAAGGAAAAGUCAGCCAUCUUGUUCAGCAAGAAUACAAAGCUGGAGGACAAAGAGGAGCUCAUGAAUCAGCUAAAUAUUGCUAUAGAAGGCUUCUCCGGAAAAUAUUUGGGUUUACCAUGCUAUAUUGGUAGAUCAAAAACCAAAGCUUUUGAAUAUAUCAAGGAAAAAGUAUGGAAAAGGUUACAAGGUGGGAAAGAAAAAUUGCUCUCAAAGGCCGGUAAGGAAGUCCUCAUCAAAGCUGUAGCGCAAGCAAUCCCUGUUUAUGCGAUGGCAUGUUUUGACCUCACCAAAUCUCUGUGUGAAGAUGUCAGCUCAAUGAUUGCGAGGUUUUGGUGGAGUCAGUUGGAUAAAGAAAAUAAAAUCCACUGGGUUGGAUGGGACAAGCUCACAAAACCCAAAAAGGAUGGAGGGCUGGGAUUUAGAGACCUAUAUUCUUUCAACUUAGCUAUGUUGGCAAGGCAGGCUUGGAGAAUGCUACAAAACCCAUCUUCCCUAUGCGCUCAAGUGAUGGCUGCUAAAUACUAUCCAAAUCAGAAUCUGUUACAAGCGAGGCCAAGAGAUGGCAUUUCAUAUAGUUGGAGAAGCAUUUUGAAAGGAGUGCAGGUGUUGCAAAGUGGAAUCAUAUGGAGAGUAGGAGAUGGACGCAAUAUCAAUAUAUGGGCAGAUCCUUGGCUACCAAGGGGUGUUUCUAGGAGAGUAACAUCUCAGCAAGGCAGCCAUGUUAUCACAAAGGUUUCAGAUUUGAUUGACCCUACCUCUGGCACAUGGGAUUUACAACUGAUUGAUCAAACUUUCAACAAAGAAGAUGUAGAGGUAAUUGUCCAAAUUCCGAUCCGAGAGGGUGCUAAGGACACUCCUGCCUGGCAUUUUGACAAAAAGGGUAUAUUUUCAGUAAAAUCUGCAUAUCAAGUAGUGUUGGAAAACCAAGCCAGGAACUCUGCACAUGGUGGAGCUUCGUCAUCAAGUAAGAAUGGUCAGCAUAGGAUAACAUUUUGGAAGAAACUAUGGACGUUUCCCUUGCCCAACAAGAUCCUGCACUUCCUAUGGCGACUGGCCCAUUAUAGCUUACCUCUAAGAAUGAAACUACAGAAUAGAGGAAUGGAAGUGGAUACAAGAUGUCCAGUAUGCCAUCGAAUGGAUGAAGAUGGAGGUCAUUGUUUCCUAAAGUGCAAAUUUGUCAAGGCCGUUUGGAGAACUGCAUUGUUGGAAGAAAGUCGGAUGCAACUUCUCAAUUGCCCAAAUGCCAUCUCGAUGGUGGAGGAUAUCUUGCACAUGGAAGAGGAAAAAUGUUUGAAAGUAUGCAUCCUUUUGUGGUUAUGGUGGUCUGAAAGAAACAGAGCUAAUCAAGGAGAAAGGAUUAGGACUGAAGAGGAAAUUAUAUAUUCAGUUCAGCUGCACUUGUUGGAAUACAAAAAGUACAUCAAGCGACAGGAGCAAAAUGUGCAGGCUGUAAAUCAGGUUUGGUGUCCUCCGCCUGAUGAUUUUAAUAUUGAUGGAGCCUUUAGGCUAUCAACUAAAUCAGGAGGAUGGGGUUUUACUAUAAAAAAUAAUCAUGGAAUUGCACUAGUUGCAGGAGGAGCAGGGAGUUUGGAAAAUGUUGCUGAACCACUACAAGCUGAAGCUCUGGCCAUGCUCUAUGCUGUGAAUGAAGCAUCAAGAAUGGGGUGCCAAAAAGUCAUCUUAGAGACGGAUGCAGUUGCUCUAAAGCAGGCAAUCACAAGCGACCUGUACGACUACUCAAGCCUAGGCGUGCUAUUUAAAGAGAUAAGAGCAGUGUUGCAAUCAGCUUUUCAAUCUUGUAAAGUAGAAACCUGCCCACGGGCAUGUAAUAUUUCUGCACACUGUUUAGCUGCUCAUGGUGUAUGUAUGGAGCGGAAGAGCUAUCAGAUUUGGCUUGAUCCAUUUCCGAGCCAUGUAAAAAAACUUGUCGCUGGCGAGUCCAGCUUGCCUGGGUAA